rnacentral:tRNA from 1 species
GCCUCAGUAGCUCAGUGGCAGAGCGCUUGCUUCGUAAGCAAGGAGUCGCAGGUUCAAAUCCUGCCUGAGGCU